UGGUUCUGGCAUNGAUGAAGAACGCAGCGAAAUGCGAUAAGUAAUGUGAAUUGCAGAAUUCAGUGAAUCAUCGAAUCUUUGAACGCACAUUGCGCCCAUUAGUAUUCUAGUGGGCAUGCCUGUUCGAGCGUCAUUUCAACCCUCAAGCCCCAGGGCUUGGUGUUGGAGCUCUACCUUCUGUAGGCUCUGAAACUCAGUGGCGGACUCCCUAUGACUCCGAGCGCAGUACUUUUUCUCGCUCUGGAUCUCUAGGGAGGGCUUGCCGUUAAACACCCCCUAUAAUCACGGUUGACCUCGGAUCAGGUAGGAAUACCCGCUGA
rnacentral:misc_RNA from 1 species